ACAAGUUUGAGCUACCGAGUGGUGGUGUCGGUGGAGCAAAGAAUAAAGAAAGAGCAGCGGUGUUUGCAAAAGCUGUACGGAGACCAGGGAUCGAUAGGGCUGCCGUAUUCAGUAUAACCAGAACAGACUUCAGAGUCCAUCACCCACGGGACCUGUGUGGAGGGACAGAUACAAAUAUACAGCGAGCAGAGCUUUGUUUCGUCUGGCGGUGGAGCUGCAACGUGUCUGCAGUUUGAGCUGAAGUGAGCUGGUAUAUGCGUCAUACAAAGACCCUGUCAUGAGUAACCCAAGCCGCAUACUGACGGGAUUCAAUAUUGUGUAUUGUUGGGAAAGAAAGGCAGCGUUCUGGGUUGCACCUGUGUUAAAAAAACAAACAAAACAAAAACAAAGAAGCCACAAGAAUACUAGGACUGUGGUCGCGUGUUGUGCAUAUUUACCUGCUGUGUGCGUUUCUGUUUAUGACAAACGGGACUCUUUAUUUCAGAUUUAUUUCAGAACGUUUAGUGUGUGCACACACUGAGGAUUUAAACGUUGGUUAUUUAUGGACGGGUCUUUUUUAUUGUUUGUUUAAGCAACAGCCUAAUUCCUAGGACAGUUACUAUAAUGAAGGCUGGUUGCACCAACGAAAUUAAAAGAAACGCCAUUUUUAUCUUACGGUCGAGGUGACUGUGAAAUGGCUGUAAUUGUAAUGGAUGUAUUGUUUAUUUUUUUGAAUGUAAUAAGAAUGAGUUUUAUUGUGUGAUUUUUAUUAUUUUUACUGUUGCACUGUCCCUUUAAACCCCAGGGAGACUACUGGUCUCCAUAGUAAUUGCAGUGAUAAUUCGUAAUGGGGCCAGCUGUAUAAAAACAGGUGGGGUUAAUCAGCGGGAGAGCGACCGGGUUUGAGAGAUUUGUGAGCUGAGAGCACGGGUCGGGGAACUUCUGUUUGCGCUGCAAUCCUGCAUUCUGCUGUGAUCCUCCAUUCUACAGUUUCUGGUUUAGACCAGCGAUUACCAGUCCAGUCACUCUGUCGCAGACCAUCCCUUGGUCCAGGAAACUCCAUGCUCAAAUUCGCGAAGCUACCUAUCAAUGCGUCCUGCUGCAGUUCAUACAAUCCCCUUUUCUUCACCCAGAGGGAACAUGCUCUCCAGGACUUGAUUCUUUAAUUAUAUCACUUAUCUCUUGUCUGUGCUGGACAUUAUCUGUACGUUUAUAAUAUGUAGAUAAAAUGUUUAGCUCUUGACUACCAUAAGGAAAUCUUGUAUAUAUUAUGUACAUGUAGAACUGUAUAUGAAUAUAUAUGCAGUCAAAAAAUGUUUAGCAAAUAAUGCCUGAAUGCGCUCUCUUAUGGAAUGUAGUAUUCUUUUUGGUAUCUGUGUAAUGUUAGGUCUGGGUUUUUGUUUUGUUCCCUUCACUUUUUUAUUUUAUUUUAUUGGUGGCCAAAUGAGGCGGGCUGCACUUGCAGUUCAACACAAGCUAAAAACCUCUUGUAGACCCAGUUCAAGAAAGCUUCGAUACCAGCUGUCAUGCAAGGCUACAUUGGAACGCUGACAGGCACAUUUAGACAUACCCUCCCGUACUCUAUUAUUAAUAGGGUCAUUUUUAUUUGGAAGGAAAAUUCCUCUUCAUAAAAGAAAACUACAUCUAAACCUUGCCAAUGUUAACAAAGCUAUUAGGAGGUAUGCAAAUUUUAAAUCAGUUUUCAGAUCCACCCACCUCUUUU